GGUUACUUGGCCGAGUGGUUAAGGCGGCAGUCUUAAGAACUGCUCCCGGCGACGGGGCGCGAGUUCGAACCUCGCAGUAACCA